GSGSSSGGGGRCAUGUGGUUUAUUCGAGCAACGCGAAGAACCUUACCAGGUCUUGACAUCCUCUGAAAACCCUAGAGAUAGGGCUUCUCCUUCGGGAGCAGAGUGACAGGUGGUGCAUGGUUGUCGUCAGCUCGUGUCGUGAGAUGUUGGGUUAAGUCCCGCAACGAGCGCAACCCUUGAUCUUAGUUGCCAUCAUUAAGUUGGGCACUCUAAGGUGACUGCCGGUGACAAACCGGAGGAAGGUGGGGAUGACGUCAAAUCAUCAUGCCCCUUAUGACCUGGGCUACACACGUGCUACAAUGGACGGUACAAAGAGCUGCAAGACCGCGAGGUGGAGCUAAUCUCAUAAAACCGUUCUCAGUUCGGAUUGUAGGCUGCAACUCGCCUACAUGAAGCUGGAAUCGCUAGUAAUCGCGGAUCAGCAUGCCGCGGUGAAUAYKUUCCCGGGCCUUGUACACACCGCCCGUCACACCACGAGAGUUUGUAACACCCGAAGUCGGUGGGKUAUUUCUUUUUGGAGCCAGCCGCCUAAGGUGGGACAGAUGAUUGGGGUGAAGUCGUAACAAGGUAGCCGUAUCGGAAGGUGCGGCUGGGAUCACCUCCCUUKU
rnacentral:rRNA from 1 species